GUACCAAAACAUGUAUCGCUCCUGAUGCAUAUCAGGGGAGGAAAGUCCUGACACUCACAAACAGAUAACAUCUAACGGAUGUUGAAUCCCUAUCGAGGGUAAAUGAAAGUGCCACAGAAACGAAAACUAUCUCGACUUGUCGGGAGAAAGAUGCAACGCGAGGGUAGCGCAAGCUUACCUCUUCUGAAUGCAGAUGAUUUUGCAUCAGUGGUAAACCAUAUCUGGUGCAAGCUUACCUUAUGGGAAGUGCACAAUACUUGGCAUGACCGAGUUUAGAGAAAUGAUACAGUAACACAGAAUCAGGCUUAUGUUUUGCUACACUA
rnacentral:RNase_P_RNA from 1 species